CUGCCCCCCACAGCCGCCAGCGCAGAGCCACGCGCUGCCACCUUCGAUUGAACAGGAGAAUCUGGAACCAGGAGUGAGCAGAGCUGGCCCCAGGCCUUGGUGGCUGUGUACUAGUUCUGUGACCUGCAAUCAGUCACUUAACUUCUGUGAGCUCCUCUCUUUCCGUCUGUAAAAAAGGAAUAUGUACUACCCACUUCCUGAGUAGAUGUUGAAGAUGUUGUAAAAGGUUCGAGUCAACCAAUUAAAAGCAAUAGAUCACAUGAAGAUGAGUAUAUCUUCUGUUUGUUGGGACAUAAUCCAGAG
rnacentral:lncRNA from 10 species